GUGCCAGCCGCCGCGGUAAUACGUAGGGUGCGAGCGUUAAUCGGAAUUACUGGGCGUAAAGCGUGCGCAGGCGGUUUCGUAAGACAGACGUGAAAUCCCCGGGCUCAACCUGGGAACUGCGUUUGUGACUGCGAGGCUAGAGUUUGGCAGAGGGGGGUGGAGUUCCACGUGUAGCAGUGAAAUGCGUAGAGAUGUGGAGGAACACCGAUGGCGAAGGCAGCCCCCUGGGCCAAUACUGACGCUCAUGCACGAAAGCGUGGGGAGCAAACAGGAUUAGAUACCCUGGUAGUCCACGCCCUAAACGAUGUCAACUAGGUGUUGGAAGGGUUAAACCUUUUAGUGCCGUAGCUAACGCGUGAAGUUGACCGCCUGGGGAGCACGGCCGCAAGGCUAAA
rnacentral:rRNA from 1 species